rnacentral:lncRNA from 13 species
CCUUGUGAUCCGCCCACCUCGGCCUCCCAAAGUGCUAGGAUUACGGGUGUGAGCCACUGCGCCCAGCCCACUGGCUGGCCAGUGCUGGGCCACUGCUCCAGAGAAGUAGGCUUUGUUCCUCAGUUUAUCUCAAGACUCAGCCUGUCAGUCAGGUUGUGGGGUCCCUCCUAUCCAGGAACCAUAGGCUGUUGUCCCGAUUCUGGUACUUUCCCUCUGAGUCUUUGGACACCUUACCUAACCCCUUGGAAGCUCCUGUCUGCGAAGAGUGUGCACGGAGAGCUUCAGCAGCCUGCGAAGCAGCCAUCCUCACUUCCACGGAGCAGCUGUGGUCAUGCAGUAGGAGAGUGGAUCAUUUGGACAUGUGACCUAAGAGAUUCCAGUCGGGGAGAAGUCCAGGAUUGUUUUGUUCCUUGGUUAAAGAAGAAAUAUCCUUUCCUCCUGAGAGGAGAACGAGAAACGAGAAGACCAAAAAGCUCUGGCUGCCAUCUUGCUACCCAAAGGGAAGUCAUUCUGAAGACGAAGCCAAGAAAAAGGCUGAGAAAAGUACAGAGAAAUGGAAAACCAUCCCUAAUAUCACCGUGGACCUCUGGAUCAAAGCCUUGCUUGAAGCUAACCAAUACCAAUAACUCUUUUAGUGGGUAAACCAUUUUGAGUAAAUUUUCUGUGAUGGGCAACUUGAAAGCACUAUAAAUGAUACAAAUUUUGUCAGUUAAAACACAUUUCUUCAGGGAAGGAUAAUCAGGAUGAUAAGGGCAUUAUCAGGAAAACUAGGUAAAAGAAAGAUUUAGAGGUGGGCCACGUGGGCUGCUUUCAACACAGAGCUAUGAUGAGGAAGGACUUAUACUGUGUGGCCCCAGAAGAGGGACUAGAACCACAGAGUCCUACUGGUGGGGUUCUUCCCCAGCACAGGCAAUAAGGCAGGGUAUUGUCAGUGGGGAAUUAGAAAACAACGAUAAAACUCACAAAAAGUCUAUGUUCUUUUAUUAGCAUUGCAUACUGGAAAUUCUAAACAAUUUUACUGAUGGAAUGUUCCCUCCUGCUGGAACAGACAGCUCCCACUGCCCCUCCACCGCUUAUUACACCACUGCCAAUGAGAAAAAAUUAUAGGGAGUUAAGUUUCAACUUUGGUAAAGAAAGAUCUUUCCAACAGGAAAUAAUGGAAUGUACUAUCUUGAGGUUGAUGAAUUAUCCAUCACUGGCAGUGUUCAAAUAGAGGCUGGAAAGCUGCUCUGCCUGAAUGUUAUUCAGUAGAUUACUGAAUUCAAUGGGGGAAUUACCUUAAAUGACCUUGAAGACACCAGAUGACUUGAUGAGUCUCUACAAACAAUGGCAGUAAACAAUUGAGACAAAUCUUUAGAAAAGCAUCUUUGAGUGAAAGGAGGGUAUUUGGGUCUUCCCCAUUAUGAUGUGAGUAGCAAUGAAAUAGAAAUAUUCCAAGGUUACCUGCUUGGGUGCCAAUGCCUUUGGGGGAAUUGGAAAUCAAACUACAUGGAAGAAGGUAAGAGGUAAAGUCUGUACUUACUAAUGGUUAGAGACAUGGUGGUUUGGGAUCCAGGGGAUGACCUAAGCUAUUCAACUUUCCGGAAUCUAGAAGAUCAUGAAGAAGAAGACCCAAAUACUAGUAAUGAGACACCGAAGUAGAUAUGACCCCAUCACAGUGACCUAGGGCAGAUCAUUUAACCCUUCUGCAUAGUUCCAACCUCGUUGUGUUGUAGAAACAUUAAAUGUGUUAAUAUGCAUAAAGUCUUCUUCUAUAAAGUCAGCCUGGCAUAAUGUUAGUGCUACGUGAAUGCUAGUCACUAUUAUCCUAAAGCUGCUUCUCUAGUGAACUGUAAGCCUCUUUGCUCUUCCACAUUGCUUCAAACUUUCUUGCUCAGAAUGCCAGGACAAAGUUAUUUCCCGUUCAGAUCCCAUGCCAGCCCCUUAGUAACUAUUACACUAAUUGGUUUCUUGGAGGCUAAAAGUUUUAAUUUGGUGUCAUUAGAAUAUGUUUAAUAUUAUAAAUUAUGUAUUUGUUCACUUAUUUCUUUACUAAUUUAAAUACUUACUGGGCGCCUACUUUGUUUUAGAAACUGUCUGAGAUCCAAGGGAUAAAAUCAGCAGUAAAAAUAGACCCAAUCCUUGUCCUGACGAAGCUGAUUGGAAUGGGGCAGUGGGAAGUGAGUAUAAGACCGACAUAAAUUAAAAGUCACAUGAAUGAUGGUGACAUCACAGCUCUGGUGGUGCUAUCAUGAAGGUAAGCAGCACUUCUAAGACUACGAAAUUCGGCAAUACUCUAAUUUCAGAGUGUUGCCUAAAUUAGAGUAUGGGGGCUUCUCUGAGCAAGUGGUGUUUAAACCAGAAUCUAAAAUGCAUGAGUUAACUAGGAAGUUAGGAAAAUUCCAGGCAAACGCAGUGGUGCAUGAAAUUGUCCUAACACUUACAACCACCAUUUACAAAGUGCAGACCUUUCGUCAGAUGCUCUGAUGAGAAAUUUAUAUUCAUUACUUGAUCUAAACAUCACAUCAGCCCUUUGAGGUGGAAAUGAAUGGCCCAUUUUACAAAUAAGGAAUUAGGACUCAGAGUGGCCAAUAACUGAUACAAGGUCACAUAUCUUGUAAACAGGUUCAAUCGCGGCUCAGUCUAACUCCACCACGGGGCUCUUACCCCUGAGGGCAGAACUGUCAUAUUUGUCUUUCUAACUAAAGACUGGAACAGUGUCUAGCAUGUGGUAGAUGUUCAGUUAACCCUAUUGUAUAGACAUUGAGCAUAAUAAAAUUGUACUGAAGGGGAAGAAAAGCCA